rnacentral:rRNA from 1 species
UUUACGUAGUCCUGGCGUCAGGAUGACGCUGCGGCGUGCUACACAUGCAAGUCGACGGGGCGCGCAGGCUGAGGCUUUUCGGAGCGGAAGCCGGCGCUGCCAGUGGCGGACGGGUGAGUAACGCGUGGGCGAACCUGCCCUGCACUGGGGGACAACAGCCGGAAACGGCUGCUAAUACCGCAUAUGCCCGCAGCCCCGCAUGGGGCGGCGGGGGAAGCUCCGGCGGUGCAGGAUGGGCCCGCGUCUGAUUAGCUGGUUGGCGGGGCAACGGCCCACCAAGGCGACGAUCAGUAGCCGGCCUGAGAGGGUGGGCGGCCACAUUGGGGCUGAGACACGGCCCAGACUCCUACGGGAGGCAGCAGUGGGGGAUAUUGCACAAUGGGGGGAACCCUGAUGCAGCGACGCCGCGUGGGCGAUGGAGUGCUUCGGCAUGUAAAGCCCUAUCAGCAGGGAAGAAAAUGACGGUACCUGACUAAGAAGCCCCGGCUAAAUACGUG